rnacentral:rRNA from 1 species
CAGUCGCCACGGUAAUACGGAGGGUGCAAGCGUUAAUCGGAAUUACUGGGCGUAAAGCGCACGCAGGCGGUCUGACAAGUCAGAUGUGAAAUCCCCGGGCUUAACCUGGGAACUGCAUUUGAAACUGUCAGGCUGGAGUCUUGUAGAGGGGCGUAGAAUUCCAGGUGUAGCGGUGAAAUGCGUAGAGAUCUGGAGGAAUACCGGUGGCGAAGGCGGCCCCCUGGACAAAGACUGACGCUCAGGUGCGAAAGCGUGGGGAGCAAACAGGAUUAGAUACCCCGGUAGUCCCUGUCUCUUAUAA